rnacentral:rRNA from 1 species
AGUGGGGAAUAUUGGACAAUGGGCGAAAGCCUGAUCCAGCCAUGCCGCGUGAGUGAUGAAGGCCCUAGGGUUGUAAAGCUCUUUCGGCGGGGACGAUAAUGACGGUACCCGCAGAAGAAGCCCCGGCUAACUUCGUGCCAGCAGCCGCGGUAAUACGAAGGGGGCUAGCGUUGUUCGGAAUCACUGGGCGUAAAGCGCGCGUAGGCGGAUUGUUAAGUCGGGGGUGAAAUCCUGAGGCUCAACCUCAGAACUGCCUUCGAUACUGGCGAUCUUGAGUCCGGGAGAGGUGAGUGGAACUCCUAGUGUAGAGGUGAAAUUCGUAGAUAUUAGGAAGAACACCAGUGGCGAAGGCGGCUCACUGGCCCGGUACUGACGCUGAUGUGCGACAGCGUGGGGAGCAAA